AGAAGCGAGAGUUGGCAUAUUCUUAGAGCUCCUGAAAGUGAAACCAGUAUCAAAGACUCAAGUUGUAGGAGACAGUCUCCAGCAAUGUAAGGCAGAAUGUUAUAUAGAUUUUCGCAGUCAGGCAACCCAACAGGCUGCCUCAAAUAUGGUAACCUUCUUGUCACCUGGAGUGUUUAAGCAGAGAAGACAUGAAUCGGGGCUAUCAAAGAGAGUAUUUGUGUAUUGCAGAAGCUUGGAGCAAAGACAUUGGAAGAAGUGCUUCCAACUCAAAUAUUAUGCAACGCCACUUUCCUGAAGAAUUAAUAAACUUAAUGGAAUGGUAAUUCUACCCGUAAAGAGGUAAUUAUACCUAAUAACUGAUUAUAUUGAGACAACUGCCUUAAAGCAUCCAAUUUAAAAAAAUAUGCAAAGGCUACAGUGAACUGACUGAAGAUGUAAAGCUACAGGCAAUGGUGAGAAACGACCAGAGAUGUGGGGAGAAAAUUGGUCACAGGAGAAGAGACAGGAUCUCACUGCUGGGCUUGAACUCCUGGAUGCAAGCAGCCUUCCCAACUUGGCCUCCCAAAGUGCUGGGAUUAUAGCCGUGAGCCACUGCACCUGGCCAGAAAUAUCUUUAAAGCAGGAAGAAGGAAAUGAUGCAUUACCUAUAGGAAGAAAAUGAUUCAAAUGACAACUGAUUUCUCAUUGUCUACGCAUAAGAAACCAGCACAAUGUAUUUCAAGUACUGAAUAUAAAGAAAUGCCAAGCUAGAAUUCCGUCAUCAAUAAAAGUAUCCUUCAAGAAUGAAGGGGAUAAGCCAGGCAAAGAAAUACAACUACUGCAUACUCUCACUUAUAUGUGGAAUCUAAAACAAUUAAGACAAUAGGAAUAGAGAGCAAAAUGAUAGUUACCAGAGUCUGGGGUUUGGGAAUAUGGGAAGAUGUUGGUUAAAACAUACAAUGGUUCAGUUAGGAGGAAUAAAUAAUAAGUAUUUGAGGUGAUGAAUAUAUUAAUUAGCUUAACUCAAUCAUUCCGUAUUGUAUACAAACAUCAUAGCAUCACUUUGUACUUCAUAAAUAUAUACAAUUAUAAUUUGUCAAUAUUCAAUUAAAAACAGAAUGAAGAGGACAUGGAGGCAUUUUCAGAUGAAGAGAAAUGGGAUUUGUUAGCAGACUUACUCUAAAUAAAUGGCUACAGGAAAUACUAUAAAAGUAAAGGAAAUGAUAAAAGAAGAAACUUUGUAACAUCAAGAAAGAAGGAAGAACACCAGUAAACAAAAAUAUGGGAGGUAAAUGGCAUCUAAAGAGAAGGAUGUCACCAACUAAAUCGCCAACCUCUUCCCAAAUUGUAAGGCAUGUUGUGGAAGCCAUGUGCCCAGCGAGGACCAGCCAUCAGUAUUAGUCCUGGUGAUAUGUUCCUGGGUGGCAAGACAGAGGAUGCAGCAGGAAGAACUCCGACUUCAGAGCCAAAAUAGACCAAAAUCAUCACUGAUUCAACUGUAUAUAUUUGUUUCUUAAUCUACUGAUUGAACCAAGAAAUGACUUCGUCUGGAUUAAAUGAAGCAAUGGCCAUAGAAGACAUAUUGCCUGACUUAAAGGAUGUCUUUAUUAAAUGCCAGUUUUCCAGGGACAGAAGCCCUGGUGAGAAAAUGCAUUCCCAGUGGGCAUUUGUUGCCGACCCUAUGGGGACUGUGUGAGGGCUAAUCCUCACUCUCAACCUGCCUUUCCCAGCUGAACUCCUAUCUUAUAGGAAGACAAAGAAUUUGAUGAUGUCGACAUGAUGAUGGUGAUAAUAAUGAUAUAAUAACAAGUACUAUGAGGCUGUGGAGGCAAGCUCCAUGGAAGAGGAUUCUUCCCUGAAGAAAGGUUCUUCCCAUGAAGCCCCUUCCAUGUUGAAAACUGUGGCAGAGGACACAUUCCAGGCUUAAGGGAUACAGUAAGAAAGUUCAUGGAGGUGGGGCAAGUACAUGGAGCUUUGGAUACCAUUCUAAGAAGUUUGGAUUUUAUAAAAAUGGUAGGUCGUUGAAAAAUUUUGAGGAGGGCAAUUCAUGAUAUAAUCUUCCUUAUGUUUUAAGAGGCUAUUUCUGUCAACAGUGUGGAGCUGUGUUGUUUAAAACAGUAGCCACUAGUCAUAUGUGGUUAUGAAAUGUGGUAGUGAAAAAAUGUGGGUGGUCUGAACGGAAAUGUGCUGUUAAGUAUAAAAUACACACUGGAUUUUGAAGACUUGGUACAAAAAUAUGUAAAAAUACAUCAAUAAUUUUUAUGUUGAUUACAAAUUGAAACUAUUUUUGGUAUCUUCAGUUCAAUAAAAAUUAAAGU